rnacentral:sRNA from 1 species
UUUGGCGGAUUUUCUGUUUUCAGAAGUUGCUGGGUUCGUUUUAUUCAGCGGCAGUGGUGCUUUACCGAAUCUCAGAAUGCCUGUUAAAAGAUCACUGAAAUUGGAUGGUCUGUUAGAAGAAAAUAUUCAUGAUGUUGCUAUCAAAAGUUGAGAAAUUGUCAGAAGAAAUCAUGGAGAUAAUGCAAAAUUUAAGUAGUAUACAGGCUUUGGAGGGCAGUAGAGAGCUUGAAAAUCUCAUUGGAAUCUCCUGUGCAUCACGUUUCUUAAAAAGAGAAAUGCAGAAAACCAAAGAACUAAUGACAAAAGUAAAUAAACAAAAACUGUUUGAAAAGAGUACAGGACUUCCUCACAAAGGUAAGUAGUUGUGUUUUAGUUUAUUACAUAAAAAGAUGCUUUCAUCCCAUUUUGCCAAUUAAAACUAAUCAUCAUGAAUCCUUUUUAGUGGUUUUCUUUUUUCCUCAGAGAUCCCUGUUCUGAAGUGUGUUCUUUUAAAAGAUCACAAAUCUCAUUUGAAAAGCUUUAUAUUGCAUUUAGCAGAAGAUGAUGUCUGAUGAGAUCAGCUUCUCUGAUUGAACUUUUUAAAUGUCUUUUGAAAUGCAGUCUUCAACGUAAGAUUUGAAUUUUGUCUUUUUAUUAAAAUUUCUUUUUGAGAAUAC